UACGUAGGGGGCAAGCGUUGUCCGGAAUCAUUGGGCGUAAAGCGCGUGUAGGCGGCUCGGUAAGUCUGCUGUGAAAGUCCAGGGCUCAACCCUGGGAUGCCGGUGGAUACUGUCGAGCUCGAGUCCGGAAGAGGCGAGUGGAAUUCCUGGUGUAGCGGUGAAAUGCGCAGAUAUCAGGAGGAACACCGGUGGCGAAGGCGGGUCUCUGGGCCGAUACUGACGCUGAGAAGCGAAAGCGUGGGGAGCGAACAGG
rnacentral:rRNA from 1 species